ensembl:lncRNA LINC01608 long intergenic non-protein coding RNA 1608
AGUCUUCCUUACAGUCCCCUCUAAAGCAAUUAUUCUGUUCAAAAGAGGAUUUGUUUGUGAUAUUCCUUUAAGAAUCUUUAUUUAUUCCCCCAACAGUUUCUUUUUCUGCAUCCGCUGCUCUGUUAAGUGAUCACCACAUUCAUUGUUCUCGUUUCUAUUAUUUCUGAAAAAAAUCUUCAGGAUUCUGCUUGUGGGAGUGGAUGACAUUUUUACAGUGUUUACAGGCUGAAAAUUUUUCGAGCUUUUAUGCUCUGCUUCCGUUAUAAGGAGGAGGCCUCACAAUCCUGGUGGAAGGCAAGGAGGAGCAAGUCACAUCUUAUGUGGAUGGCAGCAGGCAAAGAAAGCUUAUGCAGACACAAAAUGAACAAGAUGUCUGUGGCAACCCUCAGACCAUUGACGCCUUCUCUCCUAUGUAUCAAAUCACACAUUUGGACGUUGACUGAACCCUCACAUGUCAGAUGCUCAAUAUUGAGCUUUAUCUAUUCCAGAAUGUCAUAUAGCUGGUAUAAGGUUGUCUUCAUUCAUUUCCACAGUUUCUCUGGAGGUUCCAACAAGAUACGGUCUCCAUUGCCCAUUGCUCUGGACCCCAGCCAUCACCCAGUGCAGCAGUGAUGCCUUAUGACAAGUCAGCACCUGGUCUGAACUCUGCUCUCUUUGCACUGAAUUCUUUGAGUUUUUAUUCCAAGUUCAGUCAUUGGUUUUAGUAUUGGUUCCCAUCUGCUUGGCAUCCUUGGUGGAAUUGGGCUUCUUUUUUCAAUUUCUUUUUGCUGUCUUUUUGUUUUACUGUGUUGAGUAGUGCUAUCUAAAUGUGUUUAUCAUAAAAGAAGCAGCACAUGAUCAUAGGCCCAUGAGCCUGUUUUUCAAGCCAGCCAAACAGCACAUUUAGUUUGACAUUCACACUGGACCUCUGUCCAUUUUUAUAAACUUCGCUUUGGGUCAUCAAUAAAACUAAAUGAAGUUCUCUC